rnacentral:rRNA from 1 species
GAUCCUGGCUCAGGAUGAACGCUGGCGGCGUGCCUAAUACAUGCAAGUCGAGCGAACAGAUAAGGAGCUUGCUCCUUUGACGUUAGCGGCGGACGGGUGAGUAACACGUGGAUAACCUACCUAUAAGACUGGGAUAACUUCGGGAAACCGGAGCUAAUACCGGAUAAGAUUUUGAACCGCAUGGUUCAAUAGUGAAAGACGGCCUUGCUGUCACUUAUAGAUGGAUCCGCGCCGUAUUAGCUAGUUGGUAAGGUAACGGCUUACCAAGGCAACGAUACGUAGCCGACCUGAGAGGGUGAUCGGCCACACUGGAACUGAGACACGGUCCAGACUCCUACGGGAGGCAGCAGUAGGGAAUCUUCCGCAAUGGGCGAAAGCCUGACGGAGCAACGCCGCGUGAGUGAUGAAGGUCUUCGGAUCGUAAAACUCUGUUAUCAGGGAAGAACAAACGUGUAAGUAACUGUGCACGUCUUGACGGUACCUGAUCAGAAAGCCACGGCUAACUACGUGCCAGCAGCCGCGGUAAUACGUAGGUGGCAAGCGUUAUCCGGAAUUAUUGGGCGUAAAGCGCGCGUAGGCGGUUUUUUAAGUCUGAUGUGAAAGCCCACGGCUCAACCGUGGAGGGUCAUUGGAAACUGGAAAACUUGAGUGCAGAAGAGGAAAGUGGAAUUCCAUGUGUAGCGGUGAAAUGCGCAGAGAUAUGGAGGAACACCAGUGGCGAAGGCGACUUUCUGGUCUGUAACUGACGCUGAUGUGCGAAAGCGUGGG